GACGUAGGGCGCGAGCGUUGUCCGGAUUUAUUGGGCGUAAAGAGCUCGUAGGCGGCUUGUCGCGUCGACUGUGAAAACCCGUGGCUCAACCAUGUGGUCUGCAGUCGAUACGGGCAGGCUAGAAUUCGGUAGGGGAGACGUGAAUUCCUGGUGUAGCGGUGAAAUGCGCAGAUAUCAGGAGGAACACCGGUGGCGAAGGCGGGUCUCUGGGCCGAUAUUGACGCUGAGGAGCGAAAGCGUGGGGAGCGAACAGG
rnacentral:rRNA from 1 species